rnacentral:rRNA from 1 species
UACGUAGGAUGCAAGCGUUAUCCGGAAUGAUUGGGCGUAAAGCGUCCGCAGGUGGCUAUGUAAGUCUGCUGUUAAAGAGUGAGGCUCAACCUCAUAAGAGCAGUGGAAACUACAUGGCUAGAGUGCGUUCGGGGCAGAGGGAAUUCCCGGUGUAGCGGUGAAAUGCGUAGAGAUCAGGAAGAACACCGGUGGCGAAAGCGCUCUGCUAGGCCGCAACUGACACUCAUGGACGAAAGCUAGGGGAGCGAAUGGG